rnacentral:rRNA from 1 species
GAUGAACGCUGGCGGCGUGCCUAAUACAUGCAAGUCGAGCGAACAGACGAGGAGCUUGCUCCUCUGACGUUAGCGGCGGACGGGUGAGUAACACGUGGAUAACCUACCUAUAAGACUGGGAUAACUUCGGGAAACCGGAGCUAAUACCGGAUAAUAUAUUGAACCGCAUGGUUCAAUAGUGAAAGACGGUUUUGCUGUCACUUAUAGAUGGAUCCGCGCCGCAUUAGCUAGUUGGUAAGGUAACGGCUUACCAAGGCAACGAUGCGUAGCCGACCUGAGAGGGUGAUCGGCCACACUGGAACUGAGACACAGUCCAGACUCCUACGGGAGGCAGCAGUAGGGAAUCUUCCGCAAUGGGCGAAAGCCUGACGGAGCAACGCCGCGUGAGUGAUGAAGGUCUUCGGAUCGUAAAACUCUGUUAUUAGGGAAGAACAAAUGUGUAAGUACCUAUGCACGUCUUGACGGUACCUAAUCAGAAAGCCACGGCUAACUACGUG